CCUUAGAGACAAAGGAGGAAGUUCAUGUCCACUCUCUGGGUGAACCUGUGAACCUGAGCAAGAGCCAUAAGAUGCCAUCCUUGAGAAAACCAUGCCAUACUCUGCUUUUCUCUGGGCUACAAGGGAAUGUCCAGGUGAGCUAGAAUUCAAAUCUCUGCUCCUUUAAUAAUUGCAAUUCCUUCUGAAGAUUUCUCUAAUGCAGUAUUUGCAAACAUUGGUGUGUACAAGAGUCACCCAUAAGACUUGUUACAACUACAGUUUCCUGGGCCAGGCUUGGUACUGUGUGCCUGCAGUCCCAGUACUCAGGAGGCUACAGUAGGAGGAUCACUUGAGCCCACGAGUUCAAGACCAGCCUAGGCAAGGUAGCAAGACCCUGUCUCAAAAUAAAAAAGGAGAGGGGCAGCUGAAGGUGUCACUCAGUAGUAGAGUACUUGCCUAGCAUGCAGUAGGCCCUGGAUUCGAUUCCCAGCACAACAAAAACAAACAAAUAUUUUAUUUACUUAUUUAUAAACUCUUAUUUGUUUGUUUUUUUGGUACUAGGGAUUGAACCAAGGAGUACAUUACCACUAAACUAUACCCCCAGCCCUUUUUAUUUUUUAUUUUGACACAGGGUCUUGCUAAGUUGAUUAGAGCCUCACUAAAUUACUGAGGCUGGCCUUGAACUUGCAAUCCUCCUGCCUCAGCCUCCUGAGUUCCAGGGAUUACAGGCAUGUGCCACCAUGCCCAACUAAAUAAAUAAAUAAAUAUCUAUCUAUUUAUUUAUUUAUUUUGGUGCUGGGGAUUGAAUUCAGGGACACUCAACCACAUCCCCAUCCCAAUUUUGUAUUUUAUUUAGAGACAGGAUCUCACUGAGUUGCUUAGCACCUUGCUAAAUUGCUGAGGUUGGCUUUGAACCCGAUAUCCUCCUCUCUCAGCCUUCUGAGCCACUGGUACUACAGGUGUGCAGCACCGCACCCAGCUAAAUAAAUAUUUUAAAGGACUGGGGCUGUGGCUCAGCAGUAGAGCAUUCGCCUAGCGCAUACAAAGCAUUGGGUUCCAUCCUCAGUAUCACAUAAAAAUAAAAUAAAGGUAUUGUGUCCAAGUACAACUAAAAAUAAAUAAAUAAAUAUGUAUUUUAAAUAAAUAAAAAUUACAGAUUCCUCAGAUCAUACAGAUAGCUGCUUGUACCUGUUAGGCAUCCUUCACUCUUUAUUGAUAGUCUUUGAAAAAGCUAAGUGGGGGCAGAAUACAGAAGCAUUUAUUCAUUAACUCCCAUCCCCACUGGUCAAUGAUGACCCCUUAAGAAUUGAUCUACCCACUUCUAGAACAUAUGUGUGUUCAUGCUGUAAAAGUUGUACAAGAGGGGCUGGGGCUAUAGCUCAGUUGGUAGAGUGCUUGCCUCGCAUGCACAAGGCCCUGGGUUCCAUCCCCAGCACCAAAAAAAAAAAAAAAAAAGUUGUACAAGAGUCCCACGUUGAGGGGUUGAGGGUCAAAGAAGCCCUAGGACAGGAAGCAAGAGGUACAAGAUGUGGGCCAGGUACAUUCAGGUUGCACCUGUGCAGAGUUAGCAAGGUGGCAUAGAACUGGUUAUGACAACAGUGGCUUGGAAAAGAGGUACGGUUUGCAACUGCUAGGAAAAAAUAUAGGGUCAACAAUCUAUUGGUCCUGGCACCAACUUCCUUAACAGGGGCCUAAAGCUCAAGAAAUGAAGCCAAAAAUCAUUAAGUGGGAUACUAUCCAAUUAAAAAGCUCUGUACAGCAAAGGAGGCAAUUAGGAGUGAAGGGCUGGUGAUGUAGCUCAGUUGGCAGAGGGCUUGCCUCGAAUGCACAAGGCCCUGGUGGGAUCCCCAGCACCAUACACAUACACACAAAAAAAAAAAAAAAAAAGAGAGAGAGAGAGAGAAAAAGAGAGAAGAGGGAGCUAAAAGAAUGGGAGAAAAUUUCUGCCAGCCAUUCCAUUGACAGGGAUAAAAUCCAGAAUAUAUAAAGAACUAAAAAAAACUCAAUGACAAAAACCAAACCAAACCAAAACAAAACAAAUAGCCCAAUUAAUAAAUGGGCAAAAAAACUAAACAGAAAUUUCUCAAAAGAAGAAACAAAUAUCCAAAAGUGUAUGAAAAAAUUUUAGCAUUUCUAGCAAUUUAUUUAUUUAUUUAUUUUAAUAUUUAUUAUUUAUUUAUUUAUUUAGUUUUCGGUGGACACAACAUCUUUGUUUGUAUGUGGUGCUGAGGAUUGAACCCGGGCCGCACGCAUGCCAGGCGAGCGCGCUACCACUUGAGCCACAUCCCCAGCCCCAUUUCUAGCAAUUUAUGUAAGUGAAAGUCAAAGCUACACUAAGAUUUCAUCUUAAUCCAGAUAGAAAGGCAAUGAUUAAGAAUAUGAAUAAUAGCCAGGCUCAGUGGCACACGACUGUAAUCCCAGUGACUCAGGAGACUGAGGCAGGAGGAUAACAAGUUCGAGACCAGCCUCAGCAACUUAGUGAGGACCUAAACAACUUAGUAAGAAUCUGUCUCAAAAUAAAAAAUAAAAAUGGCUGGUGGGGAUGUGGCUCAGUGACUAAGCACCCUUGGGUUAGAUCCCUGGUAGCAAAUAAAAUAGAAAUUUAAAUCAUACUACAGCCACUUCAAUGUUCAUAGCAGCAAAAUUCACAAUAUCCAAAUUAUGGAAUGAACCCAGAUGUCUGUCAAUAGAUAAAAGGAUUAAGAAAAUGUAGUAUAGGGCUGUGGUUGAAGUUCAGGGGUAGAUCGCUCGCCUAGCACAUGCGAGGCCCUGGGUUCGAUUCUCAACACCCUAUAAAAAUAAGUCAAUAAAAUAAAGGUAUUGUGUCCAUUUACAACUAAAAAAAUGAAAUAUUUUUAAAAGAAAAUAUAGUAUAUAUACACAUUGGAGCUUUACUCAGUUAUGAAGAAGAAUGAAAUAAUGUCAUUUGCUGGUAAAUGAAUGGAAAUGGAGAAAAUCAUGCUAAAUGAAAUAAGCCAGACUCAGAAAAUCAAGGGUUGAAACAUUUUCUCUGUGUGUGGGAGCUAGAGCAAAAUAAGGGAAAGAAGGUGGGAGGGGAAGGAAUCAGGUGCAUGAACAUCCAGGGUAGUGCCACCGCGCCCAGCACUAGUGGGGAUUUAAACCACCCAGUUUGUCUCCAGAGCUUUUUUUUUAUAUAUAUAUAAUUUUUUUGUAGUUUUCGGUGGACACAACAUCUUUAUUUUAUUUUUAUGUGGUGCUGAGGAUCGAACCCAGCGCGCCGAACAUGCCAGGCGAGCGCGUUACCACUUGAGCCACAUCCCCAGCCAGAGCUUGGGUUUUUAAUCAUUACUGGGCCUAUAGCACAGUAUUGGGGGGAAUUUCCAGGUAGUGGUCACCGGGUUUAAUGAGAAAAGUGCCAUAAGUAAUUAGAGAUAUCUGGCCUGAACAUAUUUUUAGUUGUAGAUAGACAAGUAUUUUGUUUUAUUUAUUUUGUUUAUUUUUUUGUGGUGCCAGGGAUUGAACCCAGGGCCUUAUGCAUGUGAGGCAAGCACUCUACUAACUGAGCUCUAUCCCCAGCUCCUGUUUUCUUUGUUUUUAUGUGGUGGUGAAGAUGAAACCCAGGGCCUCACACAUGCGAGACAAGUGCUCUAUCACUGAGCUAUGACCCCAGGCCUUAUUUUUUAUUUUGAGACAGUUCUCACUAGGUUGCUUAUGGCCUCCCUAAAUUGCUGAGGCUGACUUUGAACCUGUGAUCCUCCUCCCUCAACCUCCCAAACCACUGGGAUUACAGGUGUGUGCCCCAAGCCUGACAUAACCCCAUUUUUUUAAGUGAGCAAAAGAUUUUAAUAGACAUGUCUCCAAAGAAGAUAGACAAGUGGCGAAAAUUACAUGAAAAGAUGUUCAAUGUCAUUAGUUACUAGGGAAAUGCAAAUCAAAACCACACAAUAUACCUUUGUGUACCCACUGGGAUGGCUAUAAUGUAAAAGAUGGACAAUCACAAGUGUUGGCAAGGACAUGGAGAAAUUGGAUCCCUCUUGCAGUGCCAGUGGGCAUGUAUUACACAACAGCUGGGGGAAACCACUUGGCAGUUUCCCACUAAGUUGAGCAGAAUUACCAUAUUACCCAGCAAUUCCACUCCCAGGCAUAUACCCAAAAGAACGGAAAACAGAUGUUCAAACAAAAGCUGGCCCACAAAUAUACACAGGAGCUCUAUUCACAACAGCCCAAAGGUGAAAGAAACACAGAUGUCCAUCCCUGAUGGAAAGAAUUAAAAUGUCACAUACCUACAGUCCUAGCAACUUGGGAGGUUGAGGUUGAGGCCAGCCUCCACAAUUUAACAAGACCCUGUGUCAACAUAGAAAAUAAAAAGGGCUGGGGAUGUAAGUCAGUUGUUUAGCACCCCUGGUUUUAAUCUCUAGUAUAUCUCUCUCUCUCUCUCUCUCACACACACACACACACACACAAAAUAAAAUAAAAUAAAUAAUAAUAAUUAUAAUAAUACCUUAUACACAUACUAUUGAAUGUUAUCCAGUGAUAAAAAAGAAAUGAAGGACUAAGAUAUGUUAAAAUAUGCAUGGGGGGCUGAGGUUGUGGCUCAGUGGUAGAGCACUCGCCUAGCAAGUGUGAGGUGCUGGGUUCGAUCCUCAGCACCACAUAAAAAUAAAUAAUAAAAUAAAGGUAUAUUUAAAAAAAUAAUAAAAUAAAAAAUAAAAUAUGCAUGGACCUAGAAAAUAUUGUGGUACAAGUCACAAAAAGCCAAAUACUGUGUGACUCCAUUUAACGACAUGUGCAGAAUAUACACACUAUAGAGACAGAAAAUGGAUUAAGUUGGGGGCUGGGGAUGUGGCUCAAGCGGUAGCGCGCUCGACUGGCAUGCGUGCGGCCCGGGUUCGAUCCUCAGCACCACAUACCAACAAAGCUGUUGUGUCUGCCGAUAACUAAAAAAAAUAAAUAAAUAUUAAAAAAAAAAAAAGAAAAUGGAUUAAGUUGCUUAGGGACAGGGGACAGGGGAGAAGAGUGUUGAGGGACUACCAAAGGGUAUGAGCUUUCUUUCUUUUUUUUUUUUUUUACAUUUUAUUAGUUUGAUGGACCUUUAUUUAUUUAUGUGUGGAGCUAAGAAUUGAACCCAGGGCCUCUCACAUGCUAGGCAAGCUCUCUACCACUGAGCCCCAGCCCCAGCCCCAGCCCCAGCCCCAGCCCCAGGGGUUUCUUUUAGAAGGGAUGAAAAUGUUCUAUAAUUAGACUGUAGUGAUGAUCUGGGACCCUGUGCUUAUACUAAAAUCAGGAAUGUGCACACUUAUGAUUUAGAUGCAAUGUAAAUUGUAUUUCAAUAAAGCUAUUUUAAACAUCUGAACGUCUCAAGUCUUUCAAAUCCUGCACAAAACAGGAGGUGGUCCCCCUGCCCUAUGCCAUCCUUAUCUUCAUAAAAUUUAAAAAUGAAAUGAAAGCCUGGUGCAGUGGCACACUCCUAUAAACUCAGCGGCUCCAGAGGCUGAGGCAGGAGGAUCGCUUCAAAGCCAGCCUCAGCAAUGGUGAGGCACUGAGCAACUCAGUGAGACCCUGUCUCUGAAUAAAAUACAAAAUGGGGCUGGGGAUGUGGCUUUGUGGUCGAGUGUCUCUGAGUUCAAUCCCUGGUACAAAAGAAGAAGGAGGAGGAGGAGGAGAAGGAGGAGGAGGAGGAGGNNNNNNNNNNNNNNNNNNNNNNNNNNNNNNNNNNNNNNNNNNNNNNNNNNNNNNNNNNNNNNNNNNAGGGGGGAGGGGGAGGGGAGGUUGGAGGGGAGGGGGGAGGGAAAAAAGAAGCAAGGAAAGACUAGGGAGUUGGAGAGAGAAUGCCAUGUCUGGAGUAUUAGGUGGCCUCUCGCUGUGGCAAUGCUGUAUAAGGAACAACCUUGAGACUCAGUCCUCUACAACAGCAAACACUUAUUUCUUGCUCACAGUUCUGGAUCACCUGGGGGCUCCACUGGACCAGGUAGGCUCCACUGGACUUGGCUUGAAGCUGAGUCAAGUUGGGUCUGCUUCAAGUAGAACUUGUUCCAGGACCCAGCCUGAAGAAGUGGCAUCCCCAAGGGACAUGUUCCUCUAGGGGCGGAUAGAACAAGCAACAAGAAUCAGAAACACACACACACACACACAAACUGUAGACCCUUAACAGGGACUUUGCUUUUUCUUGAGCUGACUUGCCAUUGGUCAAGGCAAGUCACGUGGUCAAGUUCUAGGACCAGGGGAGGGGAAAGUAUUCAGUGCCUGGAAGGCACUGACAAGUCUCAAGGUAAUGGGACUGGACAUGUAAUCUAAUUACAGAAAUGGGUAGAAGAGUUGGACAUAAUAAGCCAAUCUGCCCUUAGCCAGGGGCCAAAUAGUUGCCAUUCCUGUCCUAUGAGACAUUUGGGGCACAGGUCAGAAAGACUGAUGUAUUUUGUCUAAUGUCUGCUGCAUUAGGAACUUUUUUAUUUUCUUAAUGGAAAUGAUGUUUUAAAAUCUGAUUAAGGGGCAGGGGUGUAGCUCAGUGGUAGAGCAUUUGCCUACCACAUGUGAGGUCCUGGGUUGGAUCCCUAGCACUACAAAUAAAUAAAUAAAGUCUUAUUAUAAAAGUAAAAUUACCAGCCCAGGUCCAGUUGUGCACAUCUGUAAUCCCAGCUACUCAGGAAGCUAAAGCAGGAGGAAUGCAAGUUCAAGGCCAGCCCAUUCAACUUAAUGAGACCAUAUUUCAGAAUUCUAAAAGAAAAAAAAUUAUUUUUAAAGGGCUGGAGAUGUAGCUCAGUGGUAAAGCAUCUGUGGAUUCAGAUAAAAAUCAUAAAAAGAUAUUUAGAUAUUGAAAUACAAUUUAUGUUGCAUCUAAAUCAUCUAAAUUAUAAAAAGAUAAAUAAAAAUAUCAGUACGAACAUUUUUUUUAAUAUUUUAUUUUUUAGUUGUAGUUGGGCACAAUACCUUUAUUUUAUUUAUUUAUUUUUAUGUGGUGCUGAGGAACCCCAGCCCAAUAUGGAAAAUUUUUAAAUUUAAAAAUUACCAUAAGGGCUGGGGAUGUGGCUCAAGUGGUAGUGUGCUCGCCUGGCAUGCGUGUGGCCUGGGUUCGAUCCUCAGCACCACAUACAAACUAAGAUGUUGUGUCCGCCGAAAACUAAAAAAUAAAUAUAAAAGAAAAAAAAACUUUAAAAAUUACCCUAAUCCUACCAUUCAGCCUUAAUCAAUGUUAAUACUUUGCUGUUCAUUAUUAUGUAAUUUCUGACAUGUAUAAUCACUCUAACACUGUCUUUAACAUAAUCAGGAUCACGACAUACAUACUAUUUUGCAAUCUCUGUUGUCAAUUAUAAUUUCAUCAAUCCCAGGCUGGGGUUGUGGCUCAGUGGUAGAGUAUUUGCCUAGCAUGCAUGAGGCCCUGGGUUCCAUCCUCAGUACCACACACAACAGAAUUUCGUCAAUCCACUGACAGGGUAGGGUGAGCUGGGAAGGCCCACACCUAUAAUCCCAUCAACUCAAAAACCUGAGGCAGAAGGGCUUUUUUCCUGCCCAGCCUCAGCAAUUUAUCAAGGCCCCACACAAUUUAGUAAGAUUGUCUCAAAAUUAAGAAAAAGGGCUGGGGUUGUACUUCAGCAGGUAGUGGGUCCCUGGGUUAAAUUCCCAGUACCAAGAAAAAUAAAUUUUUUCUUCAAUAUCUUUUUAUACACAAACAUAGAUCAUCAUUAUUUUCAAUGUUUGUAUGAAUCUUAUAAUUGCUACAUUUUAAAUCUGUUUAUAAACUUUUUCACCAAUAAUUCUGACAUCCUAAUAGAUUUAUUUCAGUUUUUCAUGAUACUUCCUAUCUGGAUCAAUACAUUAUGCAGAGUUUUGUUUUAGCAUAGUCGUGGUUGUAUAAAUUUCACACUUAAGAUUUUUCAUAGGGGGGGCUGGGGAUGUGGCUCAAGCGGUAGCUCGCUCGCCUGGCAUGUGUGCUGCCCAACACCACAAACAAAAGAUGUUGUGUCCGGCGAAAACUAAAAAAUAAACAUUAAAAAAAAAAAGAUUUUUCAUAGGGCUGGGGAUGUGGCUCAAGCGGUAGUGCGUUCGCCUGGCAUGCGUGUGGCCCGGGCACAUUUAUUUUUCAUAAAUGCUUUUUUGUGUAGUUACAAUCUGUGUAUUUAUUACUUUUUUGCAUUGCUUGAGACAGCAUUAUUUAAUUGGCCAGUUUCUAUUUUGGGAUACUUUGGUUAUUUCUAGUGUUUUUAUUGUUAAUCUCAUUCAUUCCUGUUGGUAAAGACGGCGCCCGGAGGGCUUCUCUUCGGGGAGCUCAGGUCCAGGACGCACUGAAUAGCCCCAGAACUGAACCAUCACCUCCAAUCCCUGAAGUGGCGGGAACUUUGAAUGGCGCACCUCCAAUCCCUGAAGUGGCGGGAACUCUCAGCCAGUGAAGAAGUAACAGCUCACUCGCCCUGCUCCUCCUCAUCCUGUGUUGAGCCCAUAAAUAUCAACACCCUGUUCCUGCUCACUCUACUCUCCCACUCUUACUCUCCCCUUCUCUCCCUCUCCCCCUCCCCCUC
rnacentral:lncRNA from 1 species